CCCAGCCCACCACCAACAUAGACACACAAAAGGCACAUCGAGCAAACAGAAAUACAUUGGAUAACGUGACAGAUUCCAGCGGAGUGACCUUUGAUCCAGUCACUGCUAGUGCAUCUGUGAUUCUCUCUGAGGAUGACCUGGCUGUCACAGUGGAACACAAUGGGUUACUUACUUGGAAAGACUACCAAGUCAACAAGGAGAUAGGCUUCAGGGUCCUGUGCUCUCAAGAGUUUAGCAGUGGGCAGCACUACUGGGAGGUUCAGACGCCGGAGGACGAAGACAGCAACUGGGCGG